AACGAACGCUGGCGGCAGGCCUAAUACAUGCAAGUCGAACGGCAGCACAGCAGAGCUUGCUCUGUGGGUGGCGAGUGGCGGACGGGUGAGGAAUACGUGGGAAUCUGCCCAGUCGUGGGGGAUAACGUAGGGAAACUUACGCUAAUACCGCAUGCGCCCUUCGGGGGAAAGCCGGGGGACCUUCGGGCCUGGCGCGAUUGGAUGAGCCCACGUCGGAUUAGCUAGUUGGCGGGGUAAAGGCCCACCAAGGCGACGAUCCGUAGCUGGUCUGAGAGGAUGAUCAGCCACACUGGAACUGAGACACGGUCCAGACUCCUACGGGAGGCAGCAGUAGGGAAUAUUGGACAAUGGGCGCAAGCCUGAUCCAGCCAUGCCGCGUGAGUGAAGAAGGCCCUCGGGUUGUAAAGCUCUUUUGUCCGGAAAGAAAAGCGCCGGGUUAAUACCCUGGUGUCCUGACGGUACCGGAAGAAUAAGCACCGGCUAACUUCGUGCCAGCAGCCGCGGUAAU
rnacentral:rRNA from 1 species